AUUGAACGCUGGCGGCAUGCCUAACACAUGCAAGUCGAACGCGAAAGAGGGGCAACUCUCGAGUAGAGUGGCGGACGGGUGAGUAAUACGUAGGAAUCUGCCCUAGAGUGUGGGAUAACCUGUCGAAAGACGGGCUAAUACCGCAUAAUCUCUGAGGAGCAAAGGUGUCAUACCAGCAAUCGUGUGAUUUCGCUUUAGGAUGAGCCUACGUCGGAUUAGCUAGUUGGUAGGGUAAUGGCCUACCAAGGCGACGAUCCGUAGCUGGUCUGAGAGGAUGAUCAGCCACAAUGGAACUGAGAAACGCUCCAGACUCCUACGGGAGGCAGCAGUGGGGAAUAUUGGACAAUGGGGGAAACCCUGAUCCAGCAAUGCCGCGUGUGCGAUGAAGGCCUGCGGGUUGUAAAGCACUUUCGGUGGGGAAGAAAUGCUCAAAGAUAAUACCUUUGAGAGCUGACGUUACCCACAUAAGAAGCACCGGCAAACUCUGUGCCAGCAGCCGCCGCGG
rnacentral:rRNA from 1 species